rnacentral:rRNA from 1 species
CCUACGGGAGGCAGCAGUGAGGAAUAUUGGUCAAUGGACGAGAGUCUGAACCAGCCAAGUAGCGUGAAGGAUGACUGCCCUAUGGGUUGUAAACUUCUUUUAUAUGGGAAUAAAAUGUUUCACGUGUGGGAUUUUGUAUGUACCAUAUGAAUAAGGAUCGGCUAACUCCGUGCCAGCAGCCGCGGUAAUACGGAGGAUCCGAGCGUUAUCCGGAUUUAUUGGGUUUAAAGGGAGCGUAGGUGGAUUGUUAAGUUAGUUGUGAAAGUUUGCGGCUCAACCGUAAAAUUGCAGUUGAAACUGGCAGUCUUGAGUACAGUAGAGGUGGGCGGAAUUCGUGGUGUAGCGGUGAAAUGCUUAGAUAUCACGAAGAACUCCGAUUGCGAAGGCAGUUCACUGGACUGCAACUGACACUGAGGCUCGAAAGUGUGGGUAUCAAACAGGAUUAGAUACCCCUGUAGUC